rnacentral:rRNA from 1 species
UACGGGGGGGGCAAGCGUUGUUCGGAAUUACUGGGCGGAAAGGGCUCGUAGGCGGCCAACUAAGUCGGAUGUGAAAUCCCCAAGCUUAACUUGGGAACUGCAUCCGAUACUGGAUGGCUUGAAUCCGGGAGAGGGAUGCAGAAUUCCAGGUGUAGCGGUGAAAUGCGUAGAUAUCAGGAGGAAUACCGAUGGCGAAGGCAGGUCUCUGGGCUGACACUGACGCUGACAGCGCGAAAGCUAGGGGAGCGAACGGG